UUUUCAAGGCCGCAAAAAUAAUUGUUAAAAAAAAUAAUCACCUGUCAUUCAUUGUCCUCAUCGACCCCCACCUUACCGUUCCCGGGUCGUAUAAAUACGAGCGCUAUCUGGACCACAGGCAUCAUACUGCCUCCAGCAGCUCUUGCAAGUGCUAGCUCUGACCAGUGGAAGAGAACCGCCAACCGCCGAGAUGAACAAGUUCUUCGUGCUGUUCCUCGUGAGCAUGGCCGUGUUGGCCGCGGCCUUCGCCACACCCUACCCCCGCCCCCUGCCCCUGGCCUUCCCCUCGCCCGCCGACGCGCCCAAGGAGACGCUGAAGGGCUCCGAGGCCGUGUACUACGGCUACGGCGCAGUGCCCUACGCCGCCUCGCCCUACUACGGCGGCUACGCCUACCCCUACUACGGCUGAGCGGACCCGCGCCACCAGCAGCCCUGAAGACGUGACCCCUCGCUGACCCCGACCGGACCCCGCCUGUGUUCUCUCCUCUCGCGCCGAGUCGUGCCUUUCCGUCUGCAAUAAACCUCUUGUUUCUAUAACUGCAAA